rnacentral:rRNA from 1 species
GGCGAACGGGUGAGUAACGCGUUGGUGACCUACCCCAAAGUGUGGAAUAACAGUCCGAAAGGAUUGCUAAUACCGCAUGUGGUUAUCGGGUUUAGAAACUGAUAACUAAAGGAGCAAUUCGCUUUGGGAGGGACCUGCGUCCCAUCAGCUAGUUGGUGAGGUAAUGGCUCACCAAGGCUACGACGGGUAGGGGACCUGAGAGGGUGACCACCCACAAUGGAACUGAAACACGGUCCAUACACCUACGGGUGGCAGCAGUAGGGAAUAUUGCACAAUGGGCGAAAGCCUGAUGCAGCAACGCCGCGUGUGCGAUGAAGGCCUUCGGGUCGUAAAGCACUUUUCUGAGAGAUGAGAAAGGACAGUAUCUCAGGAAUAAGUCUCGGCUAACUACGUGCCAGCAGCCGCGGUAAAACGUAGGAGGCGAGCGUUAUCCGGAUUCACUGGGCGUAAAGCGCGUGCAGGUGGUUCGGUAAGUUGGGCGUGAAAUCUCCCGGCUCAACUGGGAGAGGUCGUUCAAUACUACCGAACUUGAGAGCAGAAGAGGAAGAUGGAAUUCCCGGUGUAGUGGUGAAAUGCGUAGAUAUCGGGAGGAACACCAGUGGCGAAGGCGAUCUUCUGGUCUGUUUCUGACACUCAGACGCGACAGCUAGGGUAGUAAACGGGAUUAGAGACCCCGGUAAUCC